rnacentral:rRNA from 1 species
GCACAAGCGGUGGAGCAUGUGGUUUAAUUCGACGCAACGCGAAGAACCUUACCAGGAAUUGACAUCCCCUGACAACUUAUGAAAGUAGGUCUUCUACCUUCGGGUAGACAGGGAGACAGGUGGUGCAUGGUUGUCGUCAGCUCGUGUCGUGAGAUGUUGGGUUAAGUCCCGCAACGAGCGCAACCCUUACGGUUAGUUGCCAGCGGUUAAAGCCGGGCACUCUAGCUGAACUGCCGUUGACAAAACGGAGGAAGGUGGGGAUGACGUCAAAUCAUCAUGCCCUUUAUAUCCUGGGCUACACACGUGCUACAAUGGCCUGUACAGAGGGCAGCGAAGGGGCAACCUGGAGCGAAUCCCAAAAAGCAGGUCUCAGUUCGGAUUGCAGGCUGCAACUCGCCUGCAUGAAGUCGGAAUCGCUAGUAAUCGCAGGUCAGCAUACUGCGGUGAAUACGUUCCCGGGCCUU